GAUGAAGAACGCAGCGAAAUGCGAUAAGUAAUGCGAAUUGCAGAAUUCCGUGAGUCAUCGAAUCUUUGAACGCACAUUGCGCCCUCUGGUAUUCCUUAGGGCAUGCCUGUUCGAGCGUCAUUUAAACCUUCAAGCUAAGCUUGGUGUUGGGUGACUGUCCGCUUCACGGCGGACUCGCCUCAAAAUUAUUGGCGGCCGGUACAUUGGCUUCGAGCGCAGCAGAAACGCGAACUCGGGCCCGUCGUAUUGGCUCCCAGAAGCUAUCUUCACAAUUUUGACCUCGGAUCAGGUAGGGAUACCCGCUGAACUUAAGCAUAUCAAUAAGCGGAGGA
rnacentral:misc_RNA from 1 species